rnacentral:rRNA from 1 species
UACGAAGGGGGCAAGCGUUGUUCGGAUUUACUGGGCGUAAAGGGUGCGUAGGCGGUCUAAAAAGUUGGAUGUGAAAGCCCCGGGCUCAACCCGGGAAUAGCAUUCAAAACUGCUAGACUCGAGUGUGGAAGAGGAUGGUGGAAUUUCCAGUGUAGAGGUGAAAUUCGUAGAUAUUGGAAAGAACACCCGUGGCGAAGGCGGCCAUCUGGUCCAUAACUGACGCUGAGGCACGAAAGCGUGGGGAGCAAACAGG